GACGAACGCUGGCGGCGUGCCUAACACAUGCAAGUCGAGCGGGGUUGAAGCGAGGGGUAACUCGAGUUUCUACCUAGCGGCGGACGGGUGAGUAACGCGUGGGCAACCUGCCUCAAGGACUGGGAUAACAGCUCGAAAGGGCUGCUAAUACCGGAUAAGCCUAUGGCCUCGCAUGGGGCCAUGAGCAAAGGGGAAACCCGCCUUGAGAUGGGCCCGCGUCCCAUCAGCUAGUUGGUGAGGUGAAGGCUCACCAAGGCGACGACGGGUAGCCGGCCUGAGAGGGUGACCGGCCACACUGGGACUGAGACACGGCCCAGACUCCUACGGGGGCAGCAGUGGGGAAUCUUGCACAAUGGGCGAAAGCCUGAUGCAGCGACGCCGCGUGAGCGAAGAAGGCCUCGGUUGUAAAGCUCUGUCUGGAGGGACGAAGGAAGUGACGGUACCUCCGGAGGAAGCCACGGCUAACUACGUGCCAGCAGCCGCGGUAAACUACGUACGUACGUACG
rnacentral:rRNA from 1 species